GUGAGGAAUUUUCCGCAAUGGGCGAAAGCCUGACGGAGCAAUGCCGCGUGAAGGAUGAAGGCCUAUGGGUUGUAAACUUCUUUUCUCAGAAAAGAAUUAUGACGGUAUCUGAGGAAUAAGCAUCGGCUAACUCUGUGCCAGAAGCCGCGGUAAGACAGAGGAUGCAAGCGUUAUCCGGAAUGAUUGGGCGUAAAGCGUCUGUAGGUUGUUUAAAAAGUAUUCUGUCAAAGAUUAGGGCUUAACCCUAGAUAGGCAGAAUAAACUUUUAAGCUAGAGUUUGGUAGAGGCAGAGGGAAUUCCCGGUGGAGCGGUGAAAUGCGUAGAUAUCGGGAGGAACACCAAAGGCGAAGGCACUCUGCUGGGCCAAUACUAACACUGAGAGACGAAAGCGAGGGGAGCAAAUGGGAUUAGAUACCUGGUAGUCC
rnacentral:rRNA from 1 species